ACUUGUUCCAAUAGUUUAUCUUGAAGAAUUGCUUGAGCCAUUUAAGUUAACUGACUACCCCUGGGGCUAUAUGGCAAGGGGUAAAAAGACAAUGUGGAAUAAGAAUCUUCCAUGGAAAAGAUCCUAUAAAAUUUUAAGCAGGCCUGUGGAAUCUACAACACAACUUUCCAUCUUACCAGGGUCGUGGUAAAUAGCAAAAAACACGUCUCUUCUUAGUCCUAAAUAGUGUACAAUGAAAGGCAAAAUAUUCAGAUUGCGAAGCGAGAAGGAAUAUGGAACAUCAUUUUGUGAUUUGAGUUUUUCAGGAGGAUUUAUUAAGGCCAGAAAGAUGGAAUGAUGGUAUAAUGGCUGUUUUUAGAUAUUAGGUUAUGCGACGUAAAAUUGGUUAUUCGAA